GUCUCAGUUCGGAUCGCAGGCUGCAACCCGCCUGCGUGAAGCCGGAAUUGCUAGUAAUCGCGGAUCAGCAUGCCGCGGUGAAUACGUUCCCGGGCCUUGUACACACCGCCCGUCACACCAUGAGAGCCGGGGGGACCCGAAGUCGGUAGUUUAACCGCAAGGAGGACGCCGCCGAAGGUAAAACUGGUGAUUGGGGUGAAGUCGUAACAAGGUACC
rnacentral:rRNA from 1 species